ACUGUUCAAAUAAACCUACCAUUAAAAUUAUAGACUGUUCAUUUCUUUGUCAGUGGGCAAACGUACAAAAUCAGCAGGGGAUCAAAUACUUUUUUCCCUCACUGUAGGUUAUUCGAACAAGCGCUGUUUUUUGGAUCAAAAGUUGGAAAAUUUAUCUGGUGUGUAAAUCGAUGGGUGUUGUAUAUACAUACUCUUUGGUUCUUUCGGUAAAGUCACGUAGAUAGAAGAGUAAUAAUAGAUCACGCCUUUUCGAUCGCUACUCAAGCAACCGUCUCCCGCCUGAAGACGGUUGCUUGUGUGGCGAUCGAAACGUCGUGAUCUAGUAUUAUUUUUCUUCUACCUACGUGACUUCACCGAAAGAACCAAAGAUUUCUGCAGUCACGAAAGCUUCGUUUCAAGAAUGUUGCAUAUAAAGUUACAGCGCAAUCGCCGCCGGUUACAAAUCAGGACACGGUGUGAAAUGAAGCCCCACGUGACAUGCUGUCCCAAUCGCCGUUUUUAAACUGGACGCCAGUCGAUUGUGGGCCGCUGCACAAACCGAUCGCAUUUUGGAAAACGGCAAAAAGCGACUCCGACUUACUCGAUUAAGAAGCAAAAAAAAACCAAGACGGGCGAUUACCGUUUGAAUACUCGAGUAGAAUUCGUUCUCCAACUUCUUUUUAAUGGGAGACCCAGAGUCUGACGCUUAUGCGGACUCGGCGUAGAGUGGCCCGAGAUGAACUCUGCUGACCGUAUGGCAACGUGGGGGGGUCGGGUUGUGGCUGCUGGCACUCUUGGGGCAGUUGACGGGCCGCAAGCAGGGUUAGGUUGAGAGGAACCCUUCUGUGGUCUUGUACAACCAAGUUACCCGUUGCAUAGUAGGCUACGGUAACUACAAUUGUAGUUUACCUUAUUUGUCUGGCAGAGGUGACGAUGACGGUGAACCAGCUCUCUAACACUGCAAGUGAUGGGAAACCGAUAUGGCAGGAAUUGUGCUGGCUAGAAACGGGAGUCCUAAAAGACGCAAAACGCGUUUCUUACAGCGCAAAGGGGCGCUAUGGUGGACCCAUCAUUGGCAGAUCCAAUUGGCGAAUCCCAUGGUCACACUGGGAUCGCCUUUUGCUGCCUGAUAUAAAUAGGUUUUUGAUGAUGACUGAUGUUGACCUUGACGUUAGAAAUGACCUUGGCAAUGGACACGCACGGGGGUUGGGGGGGGGGGGCCUUCGGCAAAUGUUCGGUCUGUUCUUUCAUGGAAGGAACGAUGCAGUUUCGCAAGACGUUCUGCCAACGAUGCACAUUGUUUAUCCAUAAAGUUCGGCUCUUGAGUCUUAUUGGGCGUUGUUGAGUCGUGCAAACACCCCGGAUGGUGUGAGUUGAGGUUAUUUUAUGUUGUGGCUACUCACGAAUUUUCAGGUGGUUAACGUGUGUCGUGUUAACUUUGCGAACUAUCGGUUGGUUCGCCCAACCACCUAUGGGGGGGGGGGGGACGCACGCGACCCUUGUGGCCGCGAGGUCAGGGUGUUCUUAGCUGGUAAGGGUCUGUUGUUGUUCCUCCUCUUGUUGUUGCAAAAAAAACCAUGGCUGGUUUGUCAUUUGGGAGCGGCCGUGUCCCAGAAGAAGUGGGCAGAGUCUUAAGCGCUACGAUUUUCGGGGACGUGGCCAUUUAAAAAAAAAAUGUGUAUAAGCUGCGUUUCGUUAAUGCGCUUUAGGCCUUGAGAUUAGGGAGCCUACAUAUCUGCACACUUUGUCAUACGGUAACAGCCGUCAUUCGUCGCGAAAAGACGAUGACAUCACCAAGGUGCUUUGUGCCAGGCUAGGUGCAAUUUGGGGUCAAGCGAAGUGUCUUUCGAAGGCUUCCUGACGAGGUGGGGGUAACAGCCUCUGGGGUUUGUUAUGAGUUACACAUGACUGAGAUUACUGGGAAACGCGCUUCCCAUUUUAAGGUGCAUCAGUUCGGUACUGUGCUCGCUGUUAUGAGCGGUCGAUCAUCUGCUCUCCCCCCCCCUUGUCAUCGGAGGGCGAUUGCCUCCAACUGCCGAGUUAGCGUCCUUCACAAACCUCCACAGAAGAUCGAUAUUAGCACCACAACUGCCAUUAUUAAGCGUGACUUGUACCAGAUGCAUACACGGGGGUUGGGGGGGGACGCGUAGCUGUUGUAAUGUCCAUACCGCUGUUUGGGAAAACUUGCAGCGACAAAAGCACGAAGCGCGCGGCAGGUGCUUCUGAAAGCGAAUUGUGUCGUUUUCUGGCGGAAGGGGAGCGUGCAAGCGCCCUCCACUACGUUCGUAGCACGGCUGUCCUUGGUUGCCCCCAUUCCCAGAAUGUGUGUGUGUGUGCGCGCUCGCUCGCGUGUACGUACGGUGGGAGCGUAAGCGCUAUAGUUCGACUCGGUCACGUAUUAGUACCUGUUUGCAGGCUACUGGGGAGGCAAAGGUGGCCGGGCGUGGUGUUUGGUCACCCCCUCGUGUGCCGUUUCGGCCUAAAUAGGUGCUGGCUAAGAGCGCUUGCCCCAAUCGGUUAGUUAAUGCUAUGAGGGUGAUCUUUGUCUUUGUAUAACAAAGUCGGGGGGGUGUAGGGAGCGGUGGCGCGGUGGUUAGCGCGCUGCGACAUAAGUGUGAUUCCCGGUCACACGGCUGACAUCAGUUGCGAGUGCCUGGCACCUGUACCGGUCCAGGGUGAACUCUUCACAUUCGCUGAUCAAAUCAACAAUGGCCAGCGUGGUGAAGUAUGGUAAUCCUUCUACUCGCUCCCCCGGCCCCAAAUAAUCGCUACGGCGUGGCGAGGCCUUCAUUCCCAGCAGUUGACAGAUUGCGUUUCUAAAACGAGUACUUGAUGUAAAGAUAAAAACGUCACCUUUUACUCGUCUCCAUCUACGUGUGUUGUCUUGUUAGGCCGAUACAGCGGCGCGUUUCGGAUACGGAAUUCCCAAACGCGUUCAAAUACAGUUUCUACCUUCAGCAUACAGUAUACAGCAGGGUUUCUGAAUACCGUAUGCGCAACUUUCAUCUCGGACGUCCGGGGCAUGUGUCCAACUGAAACGUCGAACAAACAGCGACCUCGGUUCGAUUCCUCACCGCGUACCAUUUACCGCGGUUGCAUACACAAUGGUGUAAGAUUGGCCACAUGGCCUGGGCCUCUCCUCCCCGUGUCGAUUUCAUCGACAUUGAAUGUCUGCUGCGUUGUCACUCGGGCACGUCCUGGGGAAACACCCCGACGACACUCGGGGGAGGAGGGAGGGGCGCCCUUAAUAGGCGCUCGCUAACAGCGUCUGGCCUCAAUCCGUGGGAGGAUUUGGUGACGUUGGGUGGGGUGGCUGAGUCCCACGAUUUGCGAGCGCGUUUACGUGUGAAAGUGGCCAUGAUAUAUAGACACACGCACGCACACACACGUGGGGGGGCAGGGGACAGGUGAGUCACCCGCGUUCCGUGUCUGCUAAUGCGGAAUCCAUUCAUUCGCUUGUGGCGAGUUGCGAUCGCGAUUAUGAUCGAUCCCAAGGUUUUUGUUGUUCGUUUCUAGCCCGCGGUUGUCCGCCCUGGUUGUGGUCGCUAUCUGAAGCGGGUGGGCGGGCGAGGGGAGGGGGGUGGAAAGAGUGGACAUGCCCACUCAAAACCACCACAGCGGGUCACCACCACCACCAACCCUUUCCCGGUCGCCCCAAGUGCGCCUCGACACGCGUAAUUACGGCGCCUGUGUGAAUAUGAAACGCGCGCCGCCUCCAAUGGCCGCGUCGCUUUGUGGCCGAUGCGAGCGAGAGGGGGGGUGGAGAGAUGCUGGGUGGUUGGGGGGGGUCCUUUCUGCUGCUUCGUCCCUCCUGCCAUUGGACCGAGGGGGGAGGAGUAGUGGUGGGGUGGUUCUCUCCUCUCCGGACACAGCGAGUUUUGGUGAGUUUUGGCCGCAGCUGUCGCCACCGCUGGCCGCCGCCACCACCACCUUUAUUGUCCAGUGAAGGAAUAAUCCGAGUUACACGAGCAUCAGGAAAUGUGAAUCGGCCGCCACGGUGCCACAACAAAACAACGUCAAAAAGAAACCGAUGGGAAUGCUGUUGGACCGUGCAGCGACCUUAUCUGCCCACCCUGCAGGGCCGACUGCUGAGGGUCCCCCGUAACAUCCUCAUUGCGGCUGAGCGAGAUGGCUUCCUGCAAAUGCGUCCCUGGGCCGUCGGAGACGUCGGUUAACGGUGGGAGACAACACCCCACCAGCGCUACAGAACGACCGCUUUCUACCACCACUACACAACUUAACCACCGCCACUACACCACAAUCACCACCAACGACAACACCACUGCAUCACCGUGACAGUCGCCACUUACUACACUAUCACGAGCACUAAUGCACCACCACUACUACUACCACCAUCAUAAGCGCCACUACUCCACCACCACCACCAACACAUUAAUGGCUACUGCACAUUCUGUCUUGAAGCCCUCUCCUGCCGAAUGGACUUCGCCAUUGGCAUUUAUCCUGAACAUAUUGCCCUAUGCAAGAAUAGCAUCUCUAGUACACCAUCACGAGUAAUAAUGCACCACCACCAUUACCGCCACCACCUACACCACCAACAAUGGUGGAGGGUUUUGAUUAUGCGAAGGUUGUCAAAGCGGCUAUUGGGUGUUGUAUUAUUGGAAGUGGCAUUGAACUUGUCACCUUCCUACAAUUUAAUACUUUAUUGAAGGCGAGCUCAUAAACAGUGCUGAGUAGGUUAAUUGGUGGCGAGCUCAUAAACAGUGCUGAGUAGGCUAAUUGGUGUCGAGCACAAAGUUGCAUGCCCGCUAACUGCUGAACCUAAGUAUAUUUGUUUUGGUUUUUGUAUUGACCUUGUACUGCUCGCUCGACUUUUGGCGGUCUUUGGUCAAGCGAAUGGUGAGACCAAGCUAUAAAGGAGGAUGUCUCUGAUGUAGGGCAAUGAGUUUCAAGAACAACGCAUGCAUUAUCAAAGCAUAUUUGUUUAGGUUUCCACAAGUACGUGUGGUUGCCAUAGACAUGAUGCCUUGCAGUUGGUGUCUAGUUGAUGUUUGAAGAUUAAUAUUUGUAUUUACGCCAGAAAGAAUACAUCAUUUUUUUAUGAUUCAAUGUAUGCACACUAAAUUGCUCGCAUAAAACUUUCGACUUAAAAUUUUCCAACUGAAUAGUUUGUUAAAGGCAUACAAUAUAAAAAUAAUCGACUGAAUAGAGAAAUGUAUAUAUAACGUUGGUGAUUUUUCAUGCAGAACUUUGCUGUAAGGCCACGAAUCAACAUUUUGAAACACAUUUUUUUUACAUAAGAAUGAAUCGAUUGCAUUAUGGACAAUUCUCUUAAGAUAUUCACCUAAAUUGCGGAAGUUGGUAAUAUACAUUUUAAAACACCAUCCAACACAUUUUGGUGUAGAUAGAGAUACGCAUGUACCUUGUGAAUGUGAACAAAUGUUGCUCUUUGUUUGAGUCUCUUCUUUUGUGUGAGAUCGGUUUUGUACACGUGCAAACUGGCAGCAGCUGAUUAUCCGGUGUUAAAAGGCAUCGACGUAGACUCGUAACUUCUUCGUGUUGUAUUGUUAAGCAUUUUAAAUACUCGGGUGUGUAAUAAAAUAUACAUCAUAUACCAUAUUCUCUAGAUUUGUAUAUUGUACAUUUAUUUAAAUCCAGGACAAGUUUGUUGUGCGUCUCAUCUGGAGAAUACGGUAAUAGUUCAGCUUCGACCGCUGUUAAAAGUUCCUUGGGUAAACUCAAACUUGCGUUUGUAUCUUUACGUAUGUAUUAUAUUGUAUGUAUAUAUUUAGUGCAUACAAACAUAGAUCUUGCUAACUGGCACAAAUAUACAUUUUAUACUAAAAUAAAUCGGUGAUAUGAAUCUUGAAAAGUAUAUAGAAUUUUUUUUUAACUAUUUAAAACUGAGCCAUACGUAAAAAGGUGACCGUUUUUCUUUCCAUUGGCUUUAGCGUCGCACAGUCGUGUUAUUGAAACUCCAAUGCCAUAUUUGGAUUCCACACGCGUCAGAAUCCGCAGAUCACUUUCACAGGCAGACGUUCAAGUGCUAAAUAGAUAAAACCUUGUACCUUGAAAUUUCUUGGUGGGGCUGGGUGGUGCGAGGGAAUGGCAUGGCAAAAUAAAAGAAAUUGUUUUAAGAUAAAACAAACAUAUGGCGUUAUAAGCAUGGAGUCGACUAUUUUAAAGUCGGUCUUUUAGCACUUUACAAACGUCAUUUAUAACUUACACCAGUCACUUAUCGACUGAUGUUAUUGUUUGUAUAUAAUGUGGUGUAGGUUUUGUCACUUGUUUAUUUUACUGUAAAGUGUCUGGAGAUGCUGCAAUAUGGAAUAUAAAUGUAUCCACUGUUUUCUAUAUAAUUACAUGUUAAGUGUGUGUGGUCUGCUUAGUCAUUGUUAAUUUACUAACUUCAUAUGCGAACCGCUUGCUUUUUUUUGUACUUUUCAAGACGAGCCUUGACACUGCGAUAAUAAAACGCGGCGCAUGGGUGGAG